UACGUAGGGAGCAAGCGUUGUCCGGAAUCAUUGGGCGUAAAGCGCGCGUAGGUGGCUUCGUAAGUCCGUUGUGAAAGUCAAAGGCUCAACCUUUGAAAGCCGAUGGAUACUGUGAAGCUAGAGUACGGAAGAGGCGAGUGGAAUUCCUGGUGUAGCGGUGGAAUGCGCAGAUAUCAGGAGGAACACCAAUAGCGAAGGCAGCUCGCUGGGACGUUACUGACACUGAGGCGCGAAAGCGCGGGGAGCGAACAGG
rnacentral:rRNA from 1 species